UAACACNUAUCCAACCUGCCUCAUACUCNGGGAUAGCCUUUCNAAAGAAAGAUNAANACCCGAUGUCAUAGUCCUACCGCAUGAUGGGAUUAUUAAAGAAUUUCGGNAUGGGAUGGGGAUGCGNUCCAUUAGUUAGUUGGCGGGGUAACGGCCCACCNAGACAACGAUGGAUAGGGGUUCUGAGAGGAAGGUCCCCCACNUUGGAACUGAGACANGGNCCAAACUCCUACGGGAGGCAGCAGUGAGGAAUAUUGGUCAANGGACGAGAGUCUGAACCAGCCNAGUAGCGUGAAGGAUGACUNCCCUAUGGGUUGUAAACUUCUUUUAUAUGGGAAUAAAAUGUUCCACGUGNGGGAUUUUGUAUGUACCAUAUGAAUAAGGAUCGGCUAACUCCGUGCCAGCAGCCGCGGUAAUACGGAGGAUCCGAGCGUUAUCCGGAUUUAUUGGGUUUAAAGGGAGCGUANGUGGAUUGUUAAGUCAGUUGNGAAANUUNGCGGCUCAACCGUAAAAUUGCANUUGAAACUGGNAGUCUUGAGNACAGUANAGGUGGGCGNAAUUCGUGGUGNAGCGGNGAAAUGNUUAGAUAUCACGAAGAACUCCGAUUGCGAAGGCANCUCACUGGACUGCAACUGACACUGAGGCUCGAAAGUGUGNGUAUCAAACAGGAUUAGAUACCCUGGUAGUCCACACAG
rnacentral:rRNA from 1 species